rnacentral:rRNA from 1 species
GAGUUUGAUCGUGGCUCAGAGCGAACGCUGGCGGCAUGCCUAACACAUGCAAGUCGAACGGGAUCCUGGCUUCGGUCAGGUGAGAGUGGCGGACGGGUGAGUAACACGUGGGAAUCUGCCUUUUGGUUCGGGAUAACUGCGGGAAACUGCGGCUAAUACCGGAUGCUCCCGAGAGGGAAAAGAUUUAUCGCCGAUGGAGGGGCCCGCGUCCGAUUAGGUAGUUGGUGAGGUAACGGCUCACCAAGCCGACGAUCGGUAGCUGGUCUGAGAGGAUGAUCAGCCACACUGGGACUGAGAUACGGCCCAGACUCCUACGGGA